UUUUUUGGAAGAAAAUGAGACAACAAUUGUCAGAAAACAUGGAUAUAAAUAUGGGCCUUAGGAGUAAUAUUUAUCUAGAGCCAAGAUGGGCUUUAUAUAGAUAUGUAAAAGGUGCUUAUUUGGAGGUUUUAGCCCAGAAUUAUUGUCAAACGUAGUAUAGUUUUUUUUUUUUGGGAAUAAAAUGAAUAAACCAAAAACUGCAUUUUGCCCCCAAAAAAAAACCAAAAAUUGCAUAUGUUACACAUAUUAGAUUUUUUCUUCAGUGCUCAUGAUAAAUGCUUCAUGUCCCCAUCCAUUAAUCCAUAUGUAGAGUCUAUUAGCAACGAGUCCAAAAAGAUAUAUAGAAGUUUAGAACAGUGCCACUUCCAAAGGACAAAGCUCUUCAAAGAUUGGAGUUCUUCAAGUGGGGAACUCCUCUAAUUCAAUUUUUGAUCAUAAUUGCAUCUACUAGCUACUUUGUGUUUGGUUGGAGUUUAUGAGUCUCAGCCAAAUAAUUUCAUAGUGAUUGUACAACUUUUUUUUUUUUUUUGGUUCAAAAGCAGCAUUGAUCGAUCACGACCACGUGGGACUAUCAUUUCAACAACAGUCUUUAUGGUUUAAUUUAGGGGAAAAUGUCAAUUAAACCGUGAAUUUAUUGGUCAAUGCUAUUUAAACUUUGAACUUUGUCCAACGCCAUUUAAA
rnacentral:lncRNA from 1 species